UUUAACGUUAUUCCUUAUAUUCAUAAUAUUCUGCGACAUUGUUUUACAAACUAAACAUUAAUUACAAGGUAUUCGGUAGUAAAUCUAACCUCGAAAUGUAUAGAGCUUGUUUAUCGACUUUAUAUUCACGAUUGAUUAUUGAUUACUUUAUUCAUUUUCCAGUUGCCACAUGAUAUGGAUAAUUAUAUGGAAUAUCACAUAAUGGGUUCUGUGUCGAAAAUUCGAAUGAAACCAGGGUGUAUACCCACUAAAUUUGAAUGCCAAGCAGAUAGGAGAAAACGAGCAUCUGAUAUGACCGAACGACCAUAUACUGUAAAAAAGCAAAGACAGGAAUUAAUUCAAGAUUCUAUAAAAGAUCUGGAAGAUAAAUUUUAUUGGUAUUGUAAAUAAAGCUAUAGAGUUUGGAGAGACAUCAUCAAGUUCAGCUGUGCAUGGAAAUACAGAAAGUAUUACACAAGAGAAAAAUAAGUCUGCAAAUAAAUCCAUCCAAGUUUACAUCACACACAAAUUCAGGAGCAAAGGAGCAAAUUAGAACCUAUGAUUAUUUAACCUCUUUUUGUAUGAUCAUAAUUAAAUAGGAAAAAAUAAAAGCACUAAUUAAC
rnacentral:lncRNA from 1 species